rnacentral:rRNA from 1 species
UACGUAGGGCGCAAGCGUUAUCCGGAAUUAUUGGGCGUAAAGAGCUCGUAGGCGGUUUGUUGCGUCGGCUGUGAAAUCCCGAGGCUCAACCUCGGGUCUGCAGUCGAUACGAGCAAACUAGAGUGUUGCAGGGGAGACUGGAAUUCCUGGUGUAGCGGUGAAAUGACGCAGAUAUCAGGAGGAACACCGGUGGCGAAGGCGGGUCUCUGGGCAACAACUGACGCUGGAGGAGCGAAAGCGUGGGGAGCGAACAGG